AUCCCGUGGUGAGGACACUUCAUAAGCAUUUCCUUGAAUCGUUCCCCUGCUUCAUACAAGAACUCCCUCUCAAAUUGAGCAAAAGUGGUAAUAUCAUUAAUUAACUU
rfam:Nelumbo nucifera unplaced genomic scaffold scaffold00122, whole genome shotgun sequence